rnacentral:rRNA from 1 species
CCUACGGGAGGCAGCAGUGAGGAAUAUUGGUCAAUGGACGAGAGUCUGAACCAGCCAAGUAGCGUGAAGGAUGACUGCCCUAUGGGUUGUAAACUUCUUUUAUAUGGGAAUAAAAUGUUCCACGUGUGGGAUUUUGUAUGUACCAUAUGACUAAGGAUCGGCUAACUCCGUGCCAGCAGCCGCGGUAAUACGGAGGAUCCGAGCGUUAUCCGGAUUUAUUGGGUGUAAAGGGAGCGUAGGUGGAGUGUUAAGUCAGUUGUGAAAGUUUGCGGCUCAACCGUAAAAUUGCAGUUGAAACUGGCAGUCUUGAGUACAGUAGAGGUGGGCGGAAUUCGUGGUGUAGCGGUGAAAUGCUUAGAUAUCACGAAGAACUCCGAUUGCGAAGGCAGUUCACUGGACUGCAACUGACACUGAGGCUCGAAAGUGUGGGUAUCAAACAGGAUUAGAUACCCGAGUAGUC